UACGGAGGGUGCAAGCGUUAUCCGGAUUCACUGGGUUUAAAGGGUGCGUAGGCGGCUAUAUAAGUCAGUGGUGAAAGCCCGCAGCUCAACUGCGGAACUGCCAUUGAAACUGCAUAGCUUGAAUCUGGUUGAAGUGGGCGGAAUACAUCAUGUAGCGGUGAAAUGCUUAGAUAUGAUGUAGAACACCGAUUGCGAAGGCAGCUGGCUACACAUAUAUUGACACUGAGGCUCGAAAGCGUGGGGAUCAAACAGG
rnacentral:rRNA from 1 species